rnacentral:rRNA from 1 species
UGGGGAAUUUUGCGCAAUGGGGGAAACCCUGACGCAGCAACGCCGCGUGGAGGAUGAAGGUUUUCGGAUUGUAAACUCCUGUCAGUGGGGAAAAAGCGAGCUGGUCGAACACGCCAGUGAGUUGAUUGUACCCGCAGAGGAAGCCCCGGCUAACUCUGUGCCAGCAGCCGCGGUAAUACAGAGGGGGCAAGCGUUAUUCGGAAUUAUUGGGCGUAAAGGGCGCGUAGGCGGCCGCACAAGUGGAAGGUGAAAUCCCCCGGCUCAACCGGGGAACUGCCUUCCAAACUGAGUGGCUUGAGUCCGGGAGAGGUGAGUGGAAUUCCCAGUGUAGCGGUGAAAUGCGUAGAUAUUGGGAGGAACACCGGUGGCGAAGGCGGCUCACUGGACCGGAACUGACGCUGAGGCGCGAAAGCGUGGGGAGCAAACGGG